rnacentral:rRNA from 1 species
GACGAACGCUGGCGGCGCGCUUAACACAUGCAAGUCGAGCGAGAACCCUCCUUCGGGAGGGGGACAGCGGCGAACGGGUGAGUAACACGUGGGUAAUCUGCCCUCGGUUCUGGGAUAGCCCGGGGAAACCCGGAUUAAUACCGGAUAGCCUCUCGAGCUCUCGGGCUCGUGAGAAAAGGUAGCUUCGGCCUCCGAUCGAGGAGGAGCCCGCGGCGGAUUAGCUUGUUGGUGGGGUAACGCCCACCAAGGCGACGAUCCGUAGCUGGUCUGAGAGGACGGUCAGCCACACUGGGACUGAGACACGGCCCAGACUCCUACGGGAGGCAGCAGUGGGGAAUCUUGCGCAAUGGGCGAAAGCCUGACGCAGCGACGCCGCGUGAGGGAAGAAGGCCU